rnacentral:rRNA from 1 species
AGCCUACGGGGGGCAGCAGUGGGGAAUAUUGCACAAUGGGGGAAACCCUGAUGCAGCAACGCCGCGUGAGUGAAGAAGUAUUUCGGUAUGUAAAGCUCUAUCAGCAGGGAAGAAGAAAGACGGUACCUGACUAAGAAGCCCCGGCUAACUACGUGCCAGCAGCCGCGGUAAUACGUAGGGGGCAAGCGUUAUCCGGAUUUACUGGGUGUAAAGGGAGCGUAGACGGCUGUGCAAGUCUGAAGUGAAAGCCCGUGGCUCAACCGGAGAAUUGCAUCAGAAACUGUUGAACUUGAG